rnacentral:rRNA from 1 species
AGUCGAGCGGUAGAGUGACUUUGGUUGCUUGAGAGCGGCGCACGGGUGAGUAACGCGUACACUACCUACCUUUAACACUGGGAUAGCCCUGGGAAACUGGGAGUAAUACUGGAUGUGAUCAUGUUGAGAGAUAUGAUUAAAGCUGAGGCGGUUAGAGAUGGGUGUGCGUCUGAUUAGCUAGUUGGUGAGGUAACGGCUCACCAAGGCGAUGAUCAGUAGGGGGCGUGAGAGCGUGGACCCCCACACGGGUACUGAGACACGGACCCGACUCCUACGGGAGGCAGCAGUAAGGAAUAUUGGGCAAUGGACGGAAGUCUGACCCAGCCAUGCCGCGUGCAGGAAGACGGCCCUAUGGGUUGUAAACUGCUUUUCUGAGGGAAGAAAAAUAUUUAUUUAUGAGUAUCUGACGGUACCUCAGGAAUAAGCACCGGCUAACUCCGUGCCAGCAGCCGCGGUAAUACGGAGGGUGCAAGCGUUAUCCGGAAUUACUGGGUUUAAAGGGUGCGUAGGCGGUUGUAUAAGUCAGUGGUGAAAGUUUGCUGCUUAACGGUAGGAUUGCCAUUGAUACUGUAUGACUUGAAUUAGGCUGAGGAUGGCGGAAUGAGACAUGUAGCGGUGAAAUGCAUAGAUAUGUCUUAGAACACCGAU